CCUACGGGUGGCAGCAGUGAGGAAUAUUGGUCAAUGGGCGUAAGCCUGAACCAGCCAAGUCGCGUGAGGGAUGAAGGUUCUAUGGAUCGUAAACCUCUUUUAUAAGGGAAUAAAGUCGGGGACUUGUCCCCGUUUGAAUGUACCUUAUGAAUAAGCAUCGGCUAACUCCGUGCCAGCAGCCGCGGUUAUACGGAGGAUCCGAGCGUUAUCCGGAUUUAUUGGGUUUAAAGGGUGCGUAGGCGGCCUUUUAAGUCAGCGGUGAAAGGCUGUGGCUCAACCAUAGAAUUGCCGUUGACACUGGGAGGCUUGAGUAUGUUUGAGGCAGGCGGAAUGCGUGGUGUAGCGGUGAAAUGCUUAGAUAUCGCGCAGAACCCCGAUGGCGAAGGCAGCCUGCCAAGCCAUGACUGACGCUGAUGCACGAAAGCGUGGGGAUCAAACAGGAUUAGAUACCCCAGUAGUC
rnacentral:rRNA from 1 species